GGGGGUGACUGGUUUCGACAGGGUAGACCUGAGAUGGGCAGCAGGCCGUGGUCUCCUCGCCACGUUAAACAGGGGUACCGUCAAAUUGAAUUGACGACAACUCUUAUCAGGGCUCUUACGCCCUCGCUGCUUAAUUAAUUAGCAGCCGUCAAGCCGGGAAUUGCUCCUGUUCCCGGGGCGACGUCAUUUCAGGGAGCUGCACUCCGCGACGUAGCUGGUAUGCGUGGAGCCAAGACUGAACCCGCUCGGAUGCCAAGCGCGGGCCACUGCGUGCGCGGCAUCUUAAAUCCAAGCAGCGGAUAAGCUUGUAGACACCUGUCAGGGGUUUAUUUUGGACCGGAGUUCGAUUCUCCGCACCUCCACCA
rnacentral:tmRNA from 1 species